rnacentral:tRNA from 1 species
UGGGCAGUAGUUCAGUGGUAGAGCUCCCGCUUCGUAUGCGGGACGACCUGGGUUUUAUUCCCGUCUGCAUAC